ensembl:lncRNA
AAGCGGGGGCACGUGGCCGCAGGGCCCCCUGCGUGGGUGGGGGCUCGGAAGGGGCUCAGCUGUGGGAGCAUGAGGCCGGGGCUUGCAGCUGGCGUGUUCCAGGUGGGGGCUGCAGGCCGGCCUACUCCUGGCGUGACGGGGUGACGAUCCCGGGGGCAGCUCAGUGCGGUGUGUGCCUGGCAUAGGGCGGAUAGGGGGCAUCUCGAUUUUACCCAUGUGGAAUGGUUAUCCCAUUUCCUUUUGAGGCGCAAAGCAGUGAAAUGUGAAAACCUUCCGAUUCCCUCUUCAGACACGUUUUUGUGGGCAGGAUUAAAAAAGUAGGUGAAGAGAGCAGAAUUCUUGCACUUGGCUGCAUGGCUUUGACAUGAAGGUUGAUGCAUGCAGUUUCAGUUCUUAAGAAACGUUCUGUGCUCCUCACUGUGUGUAAGUGCCAUGAAUCUUUAGCAUCUACUAACUUCAGUUCAUGAAAGUUGUUUAACUUCAGCAGUGUGAGGAAAUGCAUCUCUGUCUACUGCUGUAGAAGAAAUCUGAGCCCUUCAGCAGUAUUAUGCGUACUUACAGGGGACAAAAUAACAAUCUGCGUGAAGAGAGGCCAAAUAAUGACUUGUUCAUUGUUCCUACAUGCGGCUGAUGGGACUUCCAAAGCAUCAUGGACUUAAUUAUGCAGUUUUUGUCGACCAAAGAGCAAAAACUAUUAUACGUGUUCUUGAAAGUUAACCAGUGCAGGGAGCUGUGUGCCAGGCCCUAUGCAUCAGUCAAGGCACGUGUAUGGGAACUGUUGGGUCACGGCCUGAGCCACUGGUUGAGCACCUGAGGAAAGGACCUGGUCAACCCUGGGAGCACAGGUGAAGGCAGUUCAGCUGUGUGACCAGAAGGGGUGGAGCCUGGCUGCACCUCUCUUAGACCUCCUUGAAGGGCUGACUGCCACUGGGGAAGGAUCUCUUUUUGGAGAUCCCUCCUUGGUGAAGCUUUCCCUGCAAACCUGGAAUCUUCUGAUAUGGACCGACAGCAGCAAAGACUGACACUUUCAGAUUGUUGCCUGGAGUUAUCUGUAAAAGAGACAUGAGCCCCUGAAUUGUUCCA